ensembl:lncRNA
UAAAAAGGAGAGGAUUUUUAUUCUGGAAGAACAAAUCAUUGGCCAAAAAGGAGAUUAAAUGUUGUGCAGGCUUUUCAAAUUCAAAUAUCAACAAAGUUUUUCUAAAUAAAUACAACAGGAGAAAAGAAAGACAGGCAGUUCUUGAAAGGAAUCCAGUUUGACGAGUGAAGAACUCUCCAAACCUGGAGAUGGUAAAAAUUGUGAGUCAAGACACGUCCCAGCUUUGCCCAUAUACAGUAGCAUUCACUCAAUUUCCGUAAAAUAUCAAGUAACUGAAACAACAUUCACAACACAUACAUCCAAACUCCAUAAAGCACAGCAGGAUUUCUGCACUCUAAAUCUAGUAGAUAUGAACUCUAAAAGUAGAUGUGGCAUUCCUCUGCUGUAUCAAUGCUCUGAGUAGUCCAGGGCUGCUACCAGAAAAUGUUCAGAAAAUAUGUACAAAUAGGAAAUGCCAUAUCUGUUUUGACUCUUGGCAUUAGAGCUGCAAAAUCCAGAUAUGUGGACGCAGAGCAUGAGGUUGUGUUACAGUGUCUUUGCAGCUGUACAAAAACCCUGGUUUUCUCUAAAGAACCACCCAAGGGGAUAACUUUACUUUUUUGUCAAACAUUUCUGUGUUUUUAUUACUAAAGCGGAAGUGCUGCCGGACUUAUUUAGGGAGUGAUAGUGGAUGACAGAUUAAAUAUCAGCUCACAGUGAGAGACUGUAGCACAAAGAGGCAAAUACCAUACUGGGAUGUGGAGCAGAAUUACUUGCAGGACUACAGAGGUAAUAAUUCCUCCGCACAGAGUCCUGGUGAGGCCCCUCUUGGAAAACUGUGAUCAGUUUUGGACAACUCAAUAUAAAGAGGAUGGCAAUAAAACAGAGCGAAUACAAAGAACAGCGAUAAAGAUAAGCAUGUUGGAAGGUCUUCUGGAUUUAGAGAUAUAUGGCAGGAGGAACAGGAGUGUGAGGGUUCCCUGAAAAGCUCCACAAGAGCAUAACCAUUCCCACUCAGGAUGACAACUGUGAAGCUUGACAUCACUUCUGAUUUCAUCUUCAGAAGAUCCCAAUGGAUUAGCUGAGGGCAGCUAAGGAAGGAGAAGAAUUUUCAGCUGUGGUCUCAACAAAUGAUGUUCUUAGGGGAAACAAUAAAAAACAAUUAAACAAACAAACAAACAAAACAAAACAAAAAAAAACAACAGUGUCCUGGAACUAUUUAUACCCUUUGAGACAGAACAAGAUCAGGUCAGAUCUGUCUACUAGCGUAUCUUUUAUGAGCAGCCAGCAAAUGGAUGUGGAUUUCUUUCUUCCCUGCCACACAGCCCUGUGGGAAAGAGACAGAAUUCAACCAAAGAAACAGCAGCAAACGGGGGGCUCAGCAAGAGUCAUGGGCUGUGCUAUUCAAAGAGCUGUGCUGUGGGGAAGCAUAUCAUUAACACUGCUCCCCUUUUCCCUUCAAAUCAUAUGCUGGCAGGGCUGUUCAAAGCCAACAUAACAUUAGCAAAUAUUUCAUUUCACCCUGGUUUUAGUUAAAGUCUUUCCCUGUUUACAUGCAACCAAAACUUACUUCUCUCAUAUAUACAGUUUGAGAGGGAGUUAGUUAAGCACAAUUCAGACAAAUACAAUGUCUUCUUUCCUCAUGCUUACAAGGACUGGGACUUUUCAAUUCCCCCAAAAUUAACCAGUUAACAGACCUAAAACCUAGCUUACACUGAAAUGAAACCAGAUCACAUCAACUCAUUUCCAAAUUGGUAAGAUGGAAAAUACUUCAGAUUCUUAAUGAUAGUCAAAAUAGCAUCUUCUUGCCUGCUGAUAAGAAUACAAGAUAUCAUUCAGAAACCAGGCAUCACACUCAACUUGCAACUCUGUUGGAGUGCACUUGCUUACACAAAAGCAGCAAAGCAAACCUGUGCAUAAAGAAAGGAGACAUCAAAUGGCAACCCUGCAGAGGAGCAAUAUUAAUUGACCAUCAGAACAAUAAGUUCCCUACAGAGCUGGACUUCUUCAAAAUUCACAAUGUGAAUUUCUUCAUCAGUGACAUUCCAAUUCCUUGAUGAAAGAAGUCUCACUACUCCUUUUGCUGAUGUCACCAGCCACUGUCUUUGACUUUAAUGGCAAGGGAAGAUCACAGUAAGCUAAACGUACUAUGAAAUUCAAAAUCACCUCUCUUACCUUCUUGAAACCAUAUAUGAAAACUGGUCUGAGGAUGCAAAAAGAAAACCAAAAAUGCAUCAUGCUCCCUUAGAUGCUCCCUUGGAGCACAGGAAAGUAGUAGCAAGAUGUCAGACUAAAUAGACCAGCCCUCUCUGUCUCAUCUCAAGUGAUGUGCCCAAACCAGGGUUGCUUCUAAACCCUGGCUUGUAUCUAAACACUAUCUACAAAGUUCAAUUUGUUUAGAAUUUUGUGAUUUUCCUACCAUUUUCUGUUUUAAAUAGGGACUGAAGUGAAGAGGUGGAGGUGGAGAGAUAAUAUAAUCACAGGCAUAUUUUAGUGGUCCAAGGUAAUUCAGAGACUCUAUGGGAAAGCAGAGAAGACAAUUUAGACACUUUCAGCUCUAAUUCAGUGACCUAACCCAAAGCAAUUCAUCUUCCUUCUACAAAUUCUGAUAAGACAUUGUGUUUUCACUAGUGUAUAUAAGUAUAUUUUAUGUGGGGAGCCCUCCGUUGCCUAUAGUUUUUCUGUAUGUUAUUAGUCAAGUUCCAGGUGCAUUUAUUUAUUUAUUUUUAGGUACACUGUCACUGAUUUGAAGGAAAUAUGUAGGUGGGGAACAUAAUGCUUCCAACUGAACCGCACUAGCAAGCACACACUACAGUAGUUUAGAGAUUAAAAAUAGGAUCAUUUGGAUGCGUGGAUUUGAAUAUGAUUUAUGGAUCACUUCCAAAGACAUUAUUGUUGCUUAUCAUUCAGACGACUGUGAAAGUGAAGACUAUGUGGGAAAUCAUGCAAGAGAUACAUUGCCUACAGAAUGGGGAAAAACAUUAAAUCUUAAAGUGGCUGAUGCAGCAAUUAAUAUUGCAACCUCCGCUGCCUUCAGUGCUCAGAAGAAAAGGGUAAGAUUACCUAGAUGUCUGCUUCCUAUAAAUAACUGAUCUCCAGACUUAAAGGGAGAGACAGGCUUAAACACCCAUUACAUACUAAAGCCCUUUUGUAUUUGCCUUGGAGGAAAUGCUUAAAAUAAUAGUCACUAGCAAAUCAAGAAUUUCUGUACAGUUCUCCGACUGCACUCUUUGGCUGUGUCAGCUACACCUACAAGUCUAACACUGCAAAAUACCAGAGCAGCAACAUCUUCAGCUGGGAUGGAUGGGAGGCAAGGAGGAAUGCUCUAUGUUCUCCUGCUGUUGUGUAAGGACACUUGAUGUUUAAAGAUCUUGACUAGAGCAGUAAUUGCAAAGGAUCACAACUUUCUGCAGCUAAAAUUCAGAGGUGACUAUUUAGAUUCCCCCAAUACAUUUUUUUAACAGAUUUUUUGUUGUUGCUUUGGGCCAGAGGAGAUUCUAAGUGCCAGAAAGAAAGAAGGACUGACACAGCACUCAAAUACCUGAUUUUCCUAAGUCUAUUUUAAACAGUAGGCUAUACCCACUGAUUUCAGCAAAGCUCAUCCUGAUUUACAGUGGCAUAAGUAAGACAAGGAUCAUGUUGUCUGUGUUUUACGUCCAUCAUUUUGAGGACAAACAAAAACAUAUAUCUGACCAAGCUGCCUGAAUUGAGACCUUUGCUUUAGAAUACUCUUUCUGUCAGAAAGUAAUGAAAGAUGCAGUAAAGCACACAUAUUCCUCAAAGCAACUGAUGUGUGGACACAUUCAACUCACAAAGACAAAGACAAGCAGAGACAAAGAAAUUUAAAUAUACAUGCAAAUAAUUGUCAGAACAAAAUCUCUGAAGAAUUCAGCCAGCUCCAUCCUUCCUUUGUCUGUUCCAUGGAUGCUACUUCAGGGAGAAAAUUAUGUUCAACAUUCAUCCCACUCUUAAAAAAGCAAUGCUUUUCACCUAUGAAUUCAUAAUGUUAAGACGAAGGGAUUUUUGUUACUUCACACAUUUGGUAUUUUAGAGAUGUUAACAAAAGUAAUUAUCAAUAUUCUUUGAUGGGUAAUUUAUACUCUUUCAUGAAAAAGAAGUUUACAUAUUCAUUGAGAAACUGUUUCUAUAUAUUUUGAGAAAUAUCCAAAUGAUUGCAAAAUGAAUGUAAUGAUUGUGUUUCCGGAACGGAAAAAAUGAGGAUCACUGAGAGAGGGAGAAGACUGUGCUCAAAAACAUCAUCUCUACUACAGCUGUCUCAAAUCCAGCUGUGAAGGUGACGAAAACAUAGAAUCAUAGAAUAGAAUCAUAGAAUCACAAGGUUGGAAAGGACCUACAAGAUCAUCUAGUCCAGCUGUCCUCCCAUUACCCUUGCAACCACAAGCCACUAAACCAUAUCUCGUAGCUCCUCAUCCAGACGCCUCUUGAACACUGCCAGGGACAGUGACUCCACCACCUCCUUGGGCAGGCCAUUCCAGUGCCUGACCACUCUCUGAGAGAAAAAGUUUCUCCUUAUGUCUAAACCUCCUCUGGCAUAACUUGUGGCCAUUUCCUCGGGUCCUGUUUGUUGCCUGGGAGAAGAGGCCAAACCCCUCCUCAUCACAACCUCCCUUCAGGAUGUUGUAGAGUGUAAUGAGGUCCCCCCUGAGCUUCCUCUUCUCCAGACUAAUCAAUCCCAGCUCCCUCAGCCGCUCCUCAUAAGGCCUGUGCUCAGACCCCUCACCAGUUUUGUUGCCCUUCUCUGGACACGCUUCAGGGCCUCAAUGUCUUUCUUGUAGUGAGGGGCCCACAACUGAACACAGUUCUCGAGGUGCGGCCUCACCAGUGCUGAGUACAGGCGGAUGAUUAUCUCCCUGCUCCUGCUGGCCACACUAUUUCUAAUGCAGGCCAGGAUGCCGCUGGCCCUCUUGGCCACCUGGGCACACUGUCGGCUCAUGUUCAGCCAAGCAUCAACCAACACCCUCAGGUCCCUUUGCUCUUCACAGUCAUCCAGCCACUCAGCCCCAGGCCUAUAGUGCUGCAUGGGGUUAUUGUGGCAAAAGUG